AACCUUUCUGUAAAUGUGGAACUCUAAUUAUUCUAACAUUAAAUUAAACCAAAAAAAUCCACUCUUAAAGAAAAUGUAUCUGCAGUCAUCAAAACCAAUCCACAUGAAAAUGUUCACUGACACAUUAUUAAUCAAUACUUUGGUAAAUGUAUUGAUCCAUUGAGAAACAGCAUCGUCAGAGUAAUCCAAGUCCCUGCUGGAGUCAGUCAGAGCAUUUCCAUAGAGAGCCACUUUGCAUCAGCAGCACCAUGCUCCAGUGCUCUGGGAGAGUUUAUAGUCCUGAGAGUUGAACACUGGAUGACUGACAGCUGUCCUUCAUGACAACAGAAGCCACAGAAAUCCUCCUCAUCAAAAACAUGACUUUGCUCUCCGUUCUCAUCUGGACUCUCCUCUGCUGCUGCUUCACAGAGUCCAGAGGCCAGGUCACAGUGACUCAGCCUGGAGCAGUGAGCUCUGCUCUGGGAGGCUCCGUCUCCAUCAGCUGUAAGACCAGUCCUGCUGUGCACUAUGAUGGUUCUGACUACAUUUUAGCCUGGUACCAACAAAAAGAUGGAGAAACUCCUAAACUGCUCAUUUACUGGGCAAAUCGUCGAGAAUCAGGAAUUUCAAGUCGUUUUUCAGGCAGUGGAUCAAACACAGACUUCACUCUGACCAUCAGUGGAGUCCAGGCUGAAGAUGCAGCAGUUUACUACUGUCAGAGUUAUCACAACAUCAACAGUCAGUAUGUGUUCACACAGUGAAAAAGCAUCGUACAAAAACCUCCCUCAGUCAGACUGAACAGAAACUAAACUGCCUGCUGCAGCUGGAAGCUAC